AUACGUAGGGUGCAAGCGUUAAUCGGAAUUACUGGGCGUAAAGCGUGCGCAGGCGGUUCUGUAAGACAGUGGUGAAAACCCCGGGGUCAACCUGGGCACUGCCAUUGUGGCUGCAAAGCCGGCGUGCGGAAGAGGGGGCUGGAAUUCCGCGUGGUGCAGUGAAAUGCGUAGAUAUGCGGAGGAACACCGAUGGCGAAGGCAAUCCCCUGGGCCUGCACUGACGCUCAUGCACGAAAGCGUGGGGAGCAAACAGGAUUAGAUACCCUGGUAGUCCACGCCCUAAACGAUGUCAACUGGUUGUUGGGGAUUUAUUUUCUCAGUAACGAAGCUAACGCGUGAAGUUGACCGCCUGGGGAGUACGGCCGCAAGGUUAAAACUCAAAGGAAUUGACGGGG
rnacentral:rRNA from 1 species